rnacentral:rRNA from 1 species
AUUGAACGCUGGCGGCCGGCCUAACACAUGCAAGUCGAGCGAGCGGCGGACGGGUGAGUAAUGUCUGGGAAACUGCCUGUUAGAGGGGGAUAACUACUGGAAACGGUAUCUAAUACCGCAUACCCUCAGAUGUGCCCAGAAGGGAUUAGAUAGUAGGUGGGGUAACGGCUCACCUAGGCGACGAUCCCUAGCUGGUCUGAGAGGAUGACCAGCCACACGGGAACUGAGGCACGGUCCGGACUCAUACGGGGGGCAGCAUUGGGGAAUAUUGGACAAUGGGCGCAAGCCUGAUGCAGCCAUGCCGCGUGUGUGAAGAAGGCCUUCGGGUUGUAAAGCACUUUCAGCGGGGAGGCGUUACCCGCAGAAGAAGCACCGGCUAACUCCGUGCCAGCAGCCGCGGUAAUUC